AGGCUUAACACAUGCAAGUCGAGGGGCAUCAGGAAGAAAGCUUGCUUUCUUUGCUGGCGACCGGCGCACGGGUGAGUAACACGUAUCCAACCUGCCCUUUACUCGGGGAUAGCCUUUCGAAAGAAAGAUUAAUACCCGAUAGCAUAAUGAUUCCGCAUGGUUUCAUUAUUAAAGGAUUCCGGUAAAGGAUGGGGAUGCGUUCCAUUAGGUUGUUGGUGAGGUAACGGCCCACCAAGCCUUCGAUGGAUAGGGGUUCUGAGAGGAAGGUCCCCCACAUUGGAACUGAGACACGGUCCAAACUCCUACGGGAGGCAGCAGUGAGGAAUAUUGGUCAAUGGGCGCUAGCCUGAACCAGCCAAGUAGCGUGAAGGAUGGAGGCUCUAUGGGUCGUAAACUUCUUUUAUAUAAGAAUAAAGUGCAGUAUGUAUACUGUUUUGUAUGUAUUAUAUGAAUAAGGAUCGGCUAACUCCGUGCCAGCAGCCGCGGUAAUACGGAGGAUCCGAGCGUUAUCCGGAUUUAUUGGGUUUAAAGGGAGCGUAGGUGGACUGGUAAGUCAGUUGUGAAAGUUUGCGGCUCAACCGUAAAAUUGCAGUUGAUACUGUCAGUCUUGAGUACAGUAGAGGUGGGCGGAAUUCGUGGUGUAGCGGUGAAAUGCUUAGAUAUCACGAAGAACUCCGAUUGCGAAGGCAGCUCACUGGACUGCAACUGACACUGAUGCUCGAAAGUGUGGGUAUCAAACAGGAUUAGAUACCCUGGUAGUCCACACAGUAAACGAUGAAUACUCGCUGUUUGCGAUAUACAGUAAGCGGCCAAGCGAAAGCAUUAAGUAUUCCACCUGGGGAGUACGCCGGCAACGGUGAAACUCAAAGGAAUUGACGGGGGCCCGCACAAGCGGAGGAACAUGUGGUUUAAUUCGAUGAUACGCGAGGAACCUUACCCGGGCUUAAAUUGCAGUGGAAUGAUGUGGAAACAUGUCAGUGAGCAAUCACCGCUGUGAAGGUGCUGCAUGGUUGUCGUCAGCUCGUGCCGUGAGGUGUCGGCUUAAGUGCCAUAACGAGCGCAACCCUUAUCUUUAGUUACUAACAGGUUAUGCUGAGGACUCUAGAGAGACUGCCGUCGUAAGAUGUGAGGAAGGUGGGGAUGACGUCAAAUCAGCACGGCCCUUACGUCCGGGGCUACACACGUGUUACAAUGGGGGGUACAGAAGGCAGCUAGCGGGUGACCGUAUGCUAAUCCCAAAAUCCUCUCUCAGUUCGGAUCGAAGUCUGCAACCCGACUUCGUGAAGCUGGACUCGCUAGUAAUCGCGCAUCAGCCACGGCGCGGUGAAUACGUUCCCGGGCCUUGUACACACCGCCCGUCAAGCCAUGGGAGCCGGGGGUACCUGAAGUACGUAACCGCAAGGAUCGUCCUAGGGUAAAACUGGUGACUGGGGCUAAGU
rnacentral:rRNA from 1 species